GACGAACGCUGGCGGCGUGCUUAACACAUGCAAGUCGAACGGCAACGCCCUGCUUUUGUGGUGUGCUCGAGUGGCGAACGGGUGAGUAAUACGUGAGUACCCUGCCCUUGGCUGUGGGAUAACUGCAGGAAACUGGGUCUAUUCCCCGAUCGGACCUCCUGUUGCAGGGUGGGGGCUGGAAGGUUGAGGCGGUUGGGGAUGGACUGGGGGCUUAUCCGAUUGUUGGUGGGGAAGUGGUUUCUCAAGGGUUUGCCGGGUCUCCGGCGUGAGAGGGUGACCGGCCACAAUGGGACUGAGAGACGGAGCAGAGUGCUACGGUAGGCAGUAGGGGAGAGUAUUGCACAAUGGGCGGAAGUCUGAUGCAGCAACGCUGCGGUCGUGAUGAAGGCCUUCGCGUAGUGAACCGCUUGCGCCUAUUACGGAGCGUGAAUGACGGUAAUGGGUAAAGAAGCACCGGCUAACUACGUG
rnacentral:rRNA from 1 species